rnacentral:rRNA from 1 species
GAUUAAGUUAUUAAGGGCGCACGGUGGAUGCCUUGGCACUAGAAGCCGAUGAAGGACGUUACUAACGACGAUAUGCUUUGGGGAGCUGUAAGUAAGCUUUGAUCCAGAGAUUUCCGAAUGGGGAAACCCAGCAUGAGUUAUGUCAUGUUAUCGAUAUGUGAAUACAUAGCAUAUCAGAAGGCACACCCGGAGAACUGAAACAUCUUAGUACCCGGAGGAAGAGAAAGAAAAUUCGAUUCCCUUAGUAGCGGCGAGCGAAACGGGAAGAGCCCAAACCAACAAGCUUGCUUGUUGGGGUUGUAGGACACUCUAUACGGAGUUACAAAGGACGACAUUAGACGAAUCAUCUGGAAAGAUGAAUCAAAGAAGGUAAUAAUCCUGUAGUCGAAAAUGUUGUCUCUCUUGAGUGGAUCCUGAGUACGACGGAGCACGUGAAAUUCCGUCGGAAUCUGGGAGGACCAUCUCCUAAGGCUAAAUACUCUCUAGUGACCGAUAGUGAACCAGUACCGUGAGGGAAAGGUGAAAAGCACCCCGGAAGGGGAGUGAAAUAGAACCUGAAACCGUGUGCUUACAAGUAGUCAGAGCCCGUUAAUGGGUGAUGGCGUGCCUUUUGUAGAAUGAACCGGCGAGUUACGAUUUGAUGCAAGGUUAAGCAGUAAAUGUGGAGCCGUAGCGAAAGCGAGUCUGAAUAGGGCGUUUAGUAUUUGGUCGUAGACCCGAAACCAGGUGAUCUACCCUUGGUCAGGUUGAAGUUCAGGUAACACUGAAUGGAGGACCGAACCGACUUACGUUGAAAAGUGAGCGGAUGAACUGAGGGUAGCGGAGAAAUUCCAAUCGAACCUGGAGAUAGCUGGUUCUCUCCGAAAUAGCUUUAGGGCUAGCCUCAAGUGAUGAUUAUUGGAGGUAGAGCACUGUUUGGACGAGGGGCCCCUCUCGGGUUACCGAAUUCAGACAAACUCCGAAUGCCAAUUAAUUUAACUUGGGAGUCAGAACAUGGGUGAUAAGGUCCGUGUUCGAAAGGGAAACAGCCCAGACCACCAGCUAAGGUCCCAAAAUAUAUGUUAAGUGGAAAAGGAUGUGGCGUUGCCCAGACAACUAGGAUGUUGGCUUAGAAGCAGCCAUCAUUUAAAGAGUGCGUAAUAGCUCACUAGUCGAGUGACACUGCGCCGAAAAUGUACCGGGGCUAAACAUAUUACCGAAGCUGUGGAUUGUCCUUUGGACAAUGGUAGGAGAGCGUUCUAAGGGCGUUGAAGCAUGAUCGUAAGGACAUGUGGAGCGCUUAGAAGUGAGAAUGCCGGUGUGAG